GUGAGGAAUAUUGGUCAAUGGGCGGGAGCCUGAACCAGCCAAGUCGCGUGAAGGAAGAAGGAUCUAUGGUUCGUAAACUUCUUUUGCAGGGGAAUAAAGUGCAGGACGUGUCCUGUUUUGUAUGUACCCUGAGAAUAAGGAUCGGCUAACUCCGUGCCAGCAGCCGCGGUAAUACGGAGGAUCCGAGCGUUAUCCGGAUUUAUUGGGUUUAAAGGGUACGUAGGUGGUUUGAUAAGUCAGCGGUGAAAGUUUGCAGCUUAACUGUAAAAAUGCCGUUGAAACUGUCGGACUUGAGUGUAAAUGAGGUAGGCGGAAUGCGUGGUGUAGCGGUGAAAUGCAUAGAUAUCACGCAGAACUCCGAUUGCGAAGGCAGCUUACUAAGCUACAACUGACACUGAAGCACGAAAGCGUGGGGAUCAAACAGGAUUAGAAACCCGAGUAGUCC
rnacentral:rRNA from 1 species